GCAACCUAGGAUUUCAAAGGCUCAGCUGGAAGGUAUUGUUUGGAUUGUUUGGCUGUAUAUAAAUAAACAAUAUCGACCUAGUGCAUAGCGAAUGUGGGACUAAACAUAUGCCUGCACAUGUUACUUUUAGUGGUAAUGUGUUCUAGAGAAAAGUAAAAAGGAUGAUAUGUUCAAGCAGCUGCAUGUGUGAGAUUCUAGAUUGGGGGCGGC
rnacentral:lncRNA from 1 species